GUUAUCGACGGGUCAGCUCCGGUGAGCUAUCGACUUGGGUCGUGACCACAGUAACCCACCCCUAACAUACGCCGCAAUAAGUAAAUAAAUUAACAGACAACAGACAGAAAUCGAAAACCAAAAGGAAGCACCCGACCAAACAGGAGGAGAAGGAACAUAAGACGGUGGCACCACAGACAUACUAGGGAAAACGCCCGCACUACCCAAAGGCAACACAAAGACCUUGGAAUGAUGCAAGCCUCACCGCGGGAUUCAGGUAACUUUUCCCUCUACUUUUCCAGAUCCUUCGGAUUUGGCCGCAUCACAUGCAAAUUGCAAAAAUGAAGAAUACUUGACCAAUAACAGCAAAGCGUUUAAAUGUAUUUUGCUACUGAGCUACUCUUCUAUCCUUCAUUUUAUCACGCAAUUUGUUUAUUGACUAUUAGUUAGGUUUCACAAUUUUGUUAAUAAACGAAUCCAACGCCUAA